rnacentral:rRNA from 1 species
UACAUAGGUCUCAAGCGUUGUUCGGAUUCAUUGGGCGUAAAGGGUGCGUAGGUGGCGCCAUAAGUCGGGUGUGAAAUCUCGGGGCUUAACUCCGAAACUGCAUUCGAUACUGUGGUGCUUGAGGACUGGAGAGGAGACUGGAAUUCAUGGUGUAGCAGUGAAAUGCGUAGAGAUCAUGAGGAAGACCAGUGGCGAAGGCGGGUCUCUGGACAGUUCCUGACACUGAGACACGAAGGCCAGGGGAGCAAACGGG